rnacentral:lncRNA from 1 species
GAAAUUUUCUCUCAUCUUCUGAUAGUUGUAUCUUCCAAACUUAACAUAUGCGAUUUUUUAUAUAGUCAUAGAUUGUAGCCAAAUCUCGUAUGAAAUCUCUUGCGGUGACUUUAACAGGCCGAGAGAGCCCCUCUUUAUGUCGUAGAUUCCUCUCCCUCCAAAGAUGUCAUAUAUAUAUAUUACAAGUGCAUUCCAAUGUAAACCCCAGCAUGGUGCUGACUUCCUGAAUUUGGAUAUCCCUUCUAUGAUAUCACUUACCUUUGUGUCUCCUUGCUUUAUCGUUGUGAUACCCAUAGUCAUCUAUAGAGCAUAAUCUGUCAAUCGUGUAAAUUUAUUCCAAAGAGUCCAGUUACAGUCGUAAUUGAAAAAUAGGUGGGUUAUCGUUUCCUCAGUUGCGUCGCAAUUGAAAAAUAAGCGGAAUAUGUUAUUUGGGUUCUAUAUUUUGUAAAAAAAUAUUUUCAUUGAAAAAAAAUAAGGUUAGCUUCAGAUCAUGUGUGUUUCAUUUAUAAUAGUGUGUUUCAUUUAUUAAAUAAUUUGUAAUCAUUAUCAAUCAUUAUAACACAAUUAUAACACUAAAAGCGAUCAAUUAAUUA